rnacentral:rRNA from 1 species
UACGGAGGAUGCGAGCGUUAUCCGGAUUUAUUGGGUUUAAAGGGUGCGCAGGCGGAUUUUUAAGUCAGCGGUCAAAUCGUGGGGCUCAACCCCAUCCAGCCGUUGAAACUGGGGAUCUAGAGUGUGCGAGAGGUAUGCGGAAUGCGUGGUGUAGCGGUGAAAUGCAUAGAUAUCACGCAGAACCCCGAUUGCGAAGGCAGCAUACCGGUGCACAACUGACGCUCAGGCACGAAGGCGUGGGUAUCGAACAGG